UGGGGAAUAUUGCACAAUGGGCGCAAGCCUGAUGCAGCCAUGCCGCGUGUAUGAAGAAGGCCUUCGGGUUGUAAAGUACUUUCAGCGGGGAGGAAGGCGACAAGGUUAUUAACCUUAUCGAUUGACGUUACCCGCAGAAGAAGCACCGGCUAACUCCGUGCCAGCAGCCGCGGUAAUACGGAGGGUGCAAGCGUUAAUCGGAAUUACUGGGCGUAAAGCGCACGCAGGCGGUCUGUCAAGUCGGAUGUGAAAUCCCCGGGCUCAACCUGGGGACUGCAUUCGAAACUGGCAGGCUAGAGUCUUGUAGAGGGGGGUAGAAUUCCAGGUGUAGCGGUGAAAUGCGUAGAGCUCUGGAGGAAUACCGGUGGCGAAGGCGGCCCCCUGGACAAAGACUGACGCUCAGGUGCGAAAGCGUGGGGAGCAAACA
rnacentral:rRNA from 1 species